GAUGAACGCUGGCGGCGUGCCUAAUACAUGCAAGUCGAGCGAACGGACGAGAAGCUUGCUUCUCUGAUGUUAGCGGCGGACGGGUGAGUAACACGUGGAUAACCUACCUAUAAGACUGGGAUAACUUCGGGAAACCGGAGCUAAUACCGGAUAAUAUUUUGAACCGCAUGGUUCAAAAGUGAAAGACGGUCUUGCUGUCACUUAUAGAUGGAUCCGCGCUGCAUUAGCUAGUUGGUAAGGUAACGGCUUACCAAGGCAACGAUGCAUAGCCGACCUGAGAGCGUGAUCGGCCACACUGGCACUGAGACACGUUCCAGACUCCUACGGGAGGCAGCAGUAGGGAAUCUUCCGCAAUGGGCGAAAGCCUGACGGAGCAACGCCGCGUGAGUGAUGAAGGUCUUCGGAUCGUAAAACUCUGUUAUUAGGGAAGAACAAAUGUGUAAGUAACUGUGCACAUCUUGACGGUACCUAAUCAGAAAGCCACGGCUAACUACGUG
rnacentral:rRNA from 1 species